UUCUACAGCCAUACCACCCUGAAUGUGCCCAAUGUCAUCUGAUCUCAGAAGCUAAGCAGGUUCAGGCCUGGUUAGUACUUGGAAGGGAGAAAAAGGAAGGUUAUUACAGAAU
rnacentral:rRNA from 1 species